UAUUCGUUGGUGUAUAGGGCACAAGAAGUUUUGAUCUUUUAAGGAAUGGUGUAAAUCCAUUACGUGUAA
rnacentral:tRNA from 1 species